rnacentral:rRNA from 1 species
AUGGGCAACGCCAGCGGCAGGGAGGAGGACGCCGCCGCGCCCGGGGAGGCCGACGCCGCCGACGUCGACGUCGAGGACGGAGGCGACGACUCCUCGGCCCGCGGCUUCCCUCCCUACGGCGGAGGCGCCAACCACGUGCGCCGUGCGUGCUCAGUGGGCGUCGUGGGGGCCAGCGGCGGGCCCGGAUCGCCGCCCGUGAGCCCCGGCCGCUCCCUCUCGCCGCGGAUGUUCGUGCCCCAGACACCUGUACCUCCAUUGCAAAGACCUGCUGAUGUAACUCCAGUAUUCAAUGAAAUACUGAUGAAUGAACAAGAAGAAGAAUUUGAUGGCCCCCCUCAAAAGGAAAUACCUGCUUUGAUUGUGUGGACUCUUGGAGGAAAGAAUGUAUCUGUUGAAGGAUCUUGGGAUAACUGGAAAUCAAGGAAACCGAUGCAGAAAUCUGGAAAAGAUCAUUCUCUUCUGUUGAUCCUUCCUUCUGGAGUUUAUCGUUAUAGAUUUGUUGUAGAUGGAGAGAGGAGAUGUUUUCCUGACCUUCCAUGUGAAACUGACGCCAUGGGCAAUGCUGUUAACCUUCUUGAUGUUCAUGAUUUUGUUCCUGAAAGUGUUGAAAGUGUAUCAGAAUUUGAGGCUCCUCCAUCCCCAGAAUCUAGCUACAGUUUCCAGGCACCUGAGGAAAAGGACUUUGCGAAUGAGCCACCUGCUCUUCCGUCUCAGCUUCACCUCGGCGUUCUUAACUCACAGAACUCAGAGGAAAUAUGUGCACGGCCCCAACACAUCGUCCUCAACCACCUUUUCAUCGAGAAGGGUUGGGGUGCCCAUCCGCUGGUGGCUCUUGGUGUAACCCACAGAUUCGAGUCCAAAUAUGUAACGGUCGUCUUGUAUAAGCCCAUAGAACGAUAG